AAGACACAACUUUUCUCAUCCCAUUUCCCUCUCGUGUCUCAGACACUAAAAUCAAAAACCCUAACCUCUCUCAACCUUGCACGGCAACACCACCGAUUCCAAUCCCCACUUGUCGAAGAAAAAAUGAGUAGACGCUCGAGCAGAACUGUCUACGUUGGGAACCUUCCUGGUGACAUCCGUGAAAGAGAAGUUGAAGAUUUAUUUCUGAAGUAUGGUCACAUAACUCACAUAGAUCUAAAGGUUCCCCCAAGACCCCCUGGUUACGCAUUUGUUGAGUUUGAAGAUGCUCAAGAUGCUGAGGAUGCAAUACGUGGACGUGAUGGCUAUGAUUUUGAUGGGCACCGGUUACGGGUGGAGCCUGCCCAUGGUGGACGUGGUCAUUCAUCCUCAAGAGAUCGACACAGCAGUCACAGCAAUGGACGGGCUGGACGUGGGGUAUCCAGACGCUCUGAAUAUCGGGUUCUAGUCACUGGAUUGCCCUCUUCAGCAUCCUGGCAGGAUCUUAAGGAUCACAUGCGCAAGGCAGGAGAUGUUUGCUUUUCUCAGGUCUUUCAUGACGGAAGGGGUACUACUGGUAUUGUGGAUUACACAAAUUAUGAUGAUAUGAAAUAUGCUAUCAAGAAGCUUGAUGACUCUGAGUUUCGGAAUGCAUUUUCCAAGGGUUAUGUUCGAGUGAGGGAAUAUGAUUCGAGGCGGGAUUCAUCUAGAAGUCCUAGCCGUGGCCCAUCUCAUUCUAGAGGAAGAAGCUAUAGCCGCAGCCGUAGCCGAAGCCGUAGUUACAGUCGGGACCGGAGCCAAAGCAAAUCUCCUAAGGGUAAAUCUUCACAGCGUUCACCACCUGCUAAAUCUCCAUCAAGAUCUCCUGCUGCUCGAUCUCGCUCAAGAUCAAGGUCUCGUUCGUUGUCAGGCAUACUGGAAAUUGGAAAUUAGGAUCUUGGUGGGAUUUGGUUCAAUUGUCUGCAACUCAUUUUGUUGUGGAGAUUGGGGACCAAGGAGAUCAUGGAUUGCCAUAUAGAGCUGGAUUGUUUAUAACCUCCAAUGAGCAAUAGGGACAAUUUCAUUACAAUUGUGGGCUUCAAGAUUUGCCAAGCCAAUAGGAUGCACCAUCUGGAUUCUCUGGAUUUUGUGGUGCAGUAGGGAAGAUUUCUGUUCUCAUGAUAAUUGGUGCCUUAAUAUGUCGCCCUGAAAUGAUCACGGUCGAGGUCCAGAUCUCCUUUGCCCCCUCGUAAUAAAAGUCCCAAAAGGGGCAGUGCUAGCAGGAGUCCGAGUAGGAGCAGAAGCAGGAGUAAAAGUUUGUCUCGGUGAGCUGAUUGUUGUAAUCGACGAAGUUGCGGACGUGGUGAGUAAAAUUGACAUUAGCCAUGAAAAACACUUAUUUGGUUUUAUGUUUGAUAUUGGACUUGAGAUUGUGCCUAUAGGCGACCUAGUUUUAAACACUGAGGAUUUAUCAGACCUUAGAUUUAUGUAAUAGACUGUUUAAUGUCAAAAACAGGCACUAUUUCCCUGGUACAUUGUUAUUAUUUGGUUUGAGUAACUCAGACGAUAACAUAUAUUGCAAGAACUCUGCAUAGAUUAUAUGUUU